UGUUCUGUUCGGGCUGGACCGGAGAACGAUUCCCCAGUCCUCUGGCCGCUGGCCCCCCCGAGGGCAUGGCCUUGACCCCUAGCGGCCUCCCGCUGGGACUGUGGGCCAAGGCACAGGAGCACAGGGUGCCCCUUGGGCUUAAGCCUGCCUGGCCAGCCCCAACCUCCAGCUUCCCCCACCUUUUCUGGAGGGGACCAGUCCUCUCUGACACCCAGGAGGUGUAACUUAAUUUUAAGUGUUGAAAUCUCAAGUAUGCAACCAGAUGAAUUUUUACACACGUUCACCCUGUGUCCGCCGCUUGGAUCGAAACAGAAGGCAGAGACAGCCCUCGGUCGGAGCUUCCAUCAGUCCCCCAGUGUAGCCACUUUUGACUUCCGUUACCUUCAAGGAGGACAUUGAGGUUCAGAGAGCACUCAGAGUCAGGUCGCCUGUUUGACGCCGUAGCUCUGCUCCUUGCCCACUACGAGACCAUCCUGCCUCCUUUUGGGUAACCUGCUUGAGAGGUGACACGGCCAUCCGGGUGCAGAGGAAGCAAAAGGCAGACCUGGGAGCCCAGAGGGGAUUCUGAGUGUGCUUUAUUUUCUGAGGAGCCAGUUUCUCUGCAUCUGUCAUGAGGCGUCUCCAGUUCUCCUUGGGGGGCCAGGAACUACCACUGGCCGCCCAACCACCGCUGUGCUGCGGAGACGCACCAGGCCCCAGGGGUCGAGUCCCGGCUCCCAGACUUAUUUGCUGUGUGACUGUGGGCAAGUUGCCUCCCUCUUUGAACCUCGCAUCCUCAA